rnacentral:miRNA from 1 species
UGUGCCUUGAUACUAUCCCACGU